rnacentral:lncRNA from 1 species
CUGGACCUCCCGGAGAAAGGGUACAUAUAUUUGUUGAUGAUGAACCAUUUUUAUUGUGAUCAGUAAUAUGCAGAUAUUGAUCUAAAAUCGUGUUCAUUUUAGGGUUUGCCAGGACCUCAGGGACCAACGGGUUUCGCAGGACCAAAGGGGCCUCCUGGACCCCCAGGGAAGGACGGCCUGCCUGGACAUCCCGGACAGCGUGGAGAGACUGUGAGCAGAUGAUCAUUAAGCUCCUCUAUGUUUGGUUUUCUGGUAAAUUUGUUGUUUAAUUUGUUUUUGUUUUUUAGGGCUUUCAAGGCAAAACCGGCCCUCCUGGUCCUCCAGGUGUGGUUGGACCUCAGGGACCAACUGGUGAAACUGGACCAAUGGGAGAUCGAGGCCACCCCGGACCCCCGGGCCCACCCGGAGAGCAGGGUCUUCCAGGUGCUGCAGGAAAAGAGGGUGCUAAGGUGAAAACAUUUCAUGUUCCCAAUUAUGUUCAGAAGUUCCCAAAAUUGACCAGUUCUUUUGUGUUUUUGGGGUGGCAGGGUGACCCAGGUCCUGCUGGACCUGCCGGUAAGGAUGGCCCUCCAGGCCCAAGAGGUUUUCCUGGAGAGAGAGGUCUUCCUGGUCCUGUGGGGGCUCACGGUCUGAAAGGCAACGAGGGUCCUCCUGGCCCACCUGGCCCUGCUGUGAGUAUCAGACAUCCAUUUCUUUAA